GGUGUUAACAAAUUUACAAAGAAGCUCCGCAACCCACAUGCCAUUGAAAACAAUGAAUUACUGGACUUCCUCAGGAGAGUGCCAUCAGAUGUUCAAAAGGUGCAGUAUAGUGAGCUGAGAGUGCCUGGCAUCCAGAGUGCACAGAAGAAGAAGCGCUAGUGCUCAUGCAAGUUGUUCCGGAUGAAAGGGCGAGACAGUGUUUGAAAGUGGUCUCCUCCCAUCCUGUAGAAUCAGGUGGCGCCCCCACCCAUCAGACUUGUCUCCUGUGGGGAGGUUGCUCAGCCUCUCUCAAAUGGCAGUGUGCGUGCAUGUGUGUGUGUGUGUGUGUCCGUGUGUGUCUGUGUGAUAGAGCAUUAUGUCACUCAGUGGUUUGCAGACCAGCAUGUUGGGAUGUAAUUAACAGAGUAUGAUCAUGAUAAAUAAAAAAAGCAAACCCUUCCGUGAUAGUGCAAACAACAACAAGCAAUUAAGAAAUGAAUGAACACAAUACUACUAUACAUUAAUAAGUGACACAAAAUGCCCUGGUGGUGUAUUAAUCAUUUGAGAAUGACAGGUUUUGUAUUUUAAUAAAAGGUCAUUAGGCCUGAUGAAGUAUCUCCUCAUUUAGACAGUAAACAGCAAACUAUAUUGAUACAAUGUAAUGCCAUGAGAAAUACUGAUUUAAACAGUAAUAUUUAUUAAAUAGUCGAAAUCAAAUAUGACCUUUUUGUAAAAUGUACUAUUGAAUGUGUAUGGAUUAUAUGCUUUGUAUCAAUAUUUUUUAUCCUUUAUACUAUAUUUAAAAUAACAUGUUUAUAAACUUAUAAAGCUAACUAAUGGUUUGA